GGACAUGCCUGUUCACUUCCAUGGCACUGCUGACUUGUGCUCACCCUAUGACGCCUCGCCCAGAGCACAGGAGGACAGUAUCCACUGCGGGGCGUUCACCCCACGCGAGCGGGGACAACAGGUCUAGCCCUAAACAACUGCUUGCCUGGCUAUAAGAGGAGCCUUGUCUUUUUUUUUUUUUUUUUCUAGAUUCCAGAAGAUGCAGUAUUUUUCCUAAGGCAGGAGAAAACCCUAGUUCAUAGACAGCCAGGAUAAAAACCCUGGAAGACCAUGAGCCAAGGUGAACGAAGAGGAAUUUUCUAAAUCUUGGGGACAGAGAAUUAUGUUACAUCAAGGCAGCCAUGCCAAUAAAAUGGAAGGCUAUGAAAGCAAGCAAGGCACAAGAAAACCCCCAUUCCACAGAGAGACACAAGUGUUCUAUUUGGUGAAGAGUUUGGUGCACAGACAGACUGCAUCCUGUGAAGAGGUGGCCCUUGUCAAGGCUACUGCCGCCAGGAGGAUCUUUGCAUCUUUAGGAUGUGUCACUAGCUCAUCGAAACUAUUUCUGUAACUCUCUGCAAGAGCCAAUUUAAGCUGGCGUCUCAGUUCCCUCUGCACUCAAAAGAGACCAAUUUCCAAUUCCUCCUCAGAGUCCGUGAGACCAGAUGCUACAGCAAAUGUUCCAGAGAAAUGAACCUAGAAAAUGAUCCCGGGGUGCUCCUUGCGGGGGAACACAGGACUCCUCAGCUCUAUCUCUGUGGCUUUAACAUACAUCAGUUUCAGGAAUCUCCAGCCUCAACAGAGAUAAAUGCCAGCCAACCCAGCUCCCUGGCACCCCCACCUGGUCCUGCAAGAACAGCUGACUGGCCAUCUGCACGAUCUGGUCCACGUGGAUGAUGCCCCCGAUGCUGGUCAUCUCCGUGUCCGAGAGCAGCGUCAGCACCAUGAUGGCUUCCACCAGCAGCUGCCGGUACUCGGGCUGCGGCACGCGGUUCAGCACCGAUUCGACAUGGACAGCAAACUUGAUCUCAUGCGGGGUCAUCUACCAAAGGGACAGGCAGGCAACCACCAGUGAGAGGACAGAUGCAGCCCUAUCAAUCAAUCACCGAGUAACCAAGGGUGACCGUAGCAGUGCCUGGGCUCGGGGCUCAGCGCCACUGCUGCCCCUUUUCUGGCCACUCCCUGGAUCCUGCUGGCAGUGGCCCUCAGAGCAGGAGGCUGGAGUAUGCCUCCAGGAGCCAGCCUGUCCUCGCCUGAUUUAUCUACCCUUCCCCCCAUCGACUACAGCUUCCAGGGAGCAGGGACCAUUUCUGGUUUCUCUUUCCUCUUCAUUAUUCCUUCCAGCAUGAAGCAUGGUGCUUUGGGUGGGGUAAAACUAAAAAAAAAUCCAUGUUAAAAAGAAUGACAAAUCACCUAGGGACGAUUACUGUUUUUAGUUGGAGAAAAGGGCCGAGAAGGCUGCCCAUGGGGCAGGCCAGGGUGGCAUGGAGAUUGGCUCCUUUCUUUCACCAGGGUUCUAAGGGGUGUCUGGCAAAUGCAAAGAGCUUGCUAGCCCAGAAAUGCUGAGUCUCAGGUGAAGAAAAAGGCUGAUGCCAAUAAAUGCUGGAAAGAC
ensembl:lncRNA PHKA2-AS1 PHKA2 antisense RNA 1